rnacentral:rRNA from 1 species
AUGGAUGAGGUCACAAGGGGUAUACAAGGAGAUAUCCCAUGGUGUAUGCUCUUUGCGGAUGAUGUGGUGCUAGUUGACGAUAGUCGGACGGGGGUAAAUAGGAAGUUAGAGUUAUGGAGACAAACCUUGGAAUCGAAAGGGUUUAGGCUUAGUAGAACUAAAACCGAGUACAUGAUGUGCGGUUUCAGUACUACUAGCUGUGAGGAGGAGGAGGUUAGCCUUGAUGGCCAGGUGGUACCUCGGAAGGACACCUUUCGGUAUUUGGGGUCAAUGUUGCAGGAGGAUGGGGGUAUUGAUGAAGAUGUGAACCAUCGAAUCAAAGCCAGAUGGAUGAAGUGGCGCCAAGCUUCUGGCAUUCUCUGUGACAAGAGAGUGCCACAAAAGCUAAAAGGCAAGUUCUACAGGACGGCGGUUCGACCCGCAAUGUUGUAUGGCGCCGAGUGUUGGCUGACUAAAAGGCGACAUGUUCAAUAG